GGGGAUUUAGCUCAGUGGUAGAGUUUGCAUUGCAAGUGCAAGGCCCUGGGUUUGAUUCUCAGCUCUA
rnacentral:tRNA from 1 species